rnacentral:tRNA from 1 species
AGCCCGGUUAGGACGCCGCCCUUACGAGGCGGAGGUCCUGGGUUCAAAUCUCAGCGGGCUC